GCCUGGCUGGCUCAGUGGGUAGAGCAUGCAACUCUUGAUCUCAGGGUCAUGAGUUCAAGCCUCAUGUUGGGCG
rnacentral:tRNA from 1 species